rnacentral:rRNA from 1 species
AAAUGAAUAGACGGGGGCCCGCACAAGCGGUGGAGCAUGUGGUUUAAUUCGACGCAACGCGAAGAACCUUACCAGGGCUUGACAUCCUCUGAAUCUUGAGGAAACUCAGGAGUGCCCUUUUGGGAGCAGAGAGACAGGUGGUGCAUGGUUGUCGUCAGCUCGUGUCGUGAGAUGUUGGGUUAAGUCCCGCAACGAGCGCAACCCCUGUAUUUAGUUGCUAGCAAGUAAAGUUGAGCACUCUAGAUAGACUGCCGGUGACAAACCGGAGGAAGGUGGGGAUGACGUCAAAUCAUCAUGCCCCUUAUGUUCUGGGCUACACACGUGCUACAAUGGCCGGUACAGACGGAAGCGAAGCCGCGAGGCGAAGCAAAUCUGAGAAAGCCGGUCUCAGUUCGGAUUGCAGGCUGCAACUCGCCUGCAUGAAGUCGGAAUCGCUAGUAAUCGCAGGUCAGCAUACUGCGGUGAAUACGUUCCCGGGCCUUGUACACACCGCCCGU